GUGGGGAAUAUUGGACAAUGGGCGAAAGCCUGAUCCAGCCAUGCCGCGUGUGUGAAGAAGGCCUUCGGAUUGUAAAGCACUUUAAGUAGGGAGGAAGGGCAGUAAGUUAAUACCUUGCUGUUUUGACGUUACCGACAGAAUAAGCACCGGCUAACUUCGUGCCAGCAGCCGCGGUAAUACGAAGGGUGCGAGCGUUAAUCGGAAUUACUGGGCGUAAAGCGCGCGCAGGUGGUUUUGUAAGUUAGAGGUGAAAUCCCCGGGCUCAACCUGGGAAGUGCCUCCAAAACUGCAUGGCUAGAGUACGGUAGAGGGUGGUGGAAUUUCGUGUGUAGCAGUGAAAUGCGUAGAUAUAGGAAGGAACACCAGUGGCGAAGGCGACUACCUGGACUGAUACUGACGCUGAUGUGCGAAAGCGUGGGGAGCAAACAGGAUUAGAAACCCGGGUAGUCC
rnacentral:rRNA from 1 species